CUCGUAGCUUGCUAUGAGAACAAUUAGUGGCAGACGGGUGAGUAAUGCAUAGGAAUCUACCUAGUAGUAUAGGAUAGCCACUAGAAGUGGUGGGUAAUACUGUAUAAUCCCUGCGGGGGAAAGAUUUAUCGCUACAUGAUGAGCCUAUGUUAGAUUAGCUAGUCGGUGGGGUAAUGGCCUACCAAGGCAGUGAUCUAUAGCUGGUCUGAGAGGAUGAUCAGCCACACUGGAACUGAGACACGGUCCAGACUCCUACGGGAGGCAGCAGUGGGGAAUAUUGGACAAUGGGCGCAAGCCUGAUCCAGCUAUGCCGCGUGAGUGAGGAAGGCCUUAGGGUUGUAAAACUCUUUCAGUGGGGAAGAUAAUGACGGUACCCACAGAAGAAGUCCCGGCAAACUCCGUGCCAGCAGCCGCGGUAAUACGGAGGGGGCAAGCGUUGUUCGGAAUUAUUGGGCGUAAAGGGCAUGUAGGUGGUUUGGUAAGUUAAAGGUGAAAUGCCAGGGCUUAACCCUGGAGCUGCUUUUAAUACUGCCAGACUGGAGUCCGGGAGA
rnacentral:rRNA from 1 species